rnacentral:rRNA from 1 species
AGAGUUUGAUCCUGGCUCAGAAUGAACGCUGGCGGCGCGCCUAAUACAUGCAAGUCGAGCGAGAAGACGUAGCAAUACGUUUGUAAAGCGGCGAACGGGUGAGGAAUACAUGGGUAACCUACCCUCGAGUGGGGAAUAACUAGCCGAAAGGUUAGCUAAUACCGCGUACGCUCCUUGGACUUCGGUUCAGGGAGGAAAGCGCUACCGUGGGUAGCGCGCUCUUGGAUGGGCUCAUGUCCUAUCAGCUUGUUGGUGAGGUAACGGCUCACCAAGGCUUCGACGGGUAGCUGGUCUGAGAGGACGACCAGCCACACUGGCACUGCGACACGGGCCAGACUCCUACGGGAGGCAGCAGUAAGGAAUAUUGCGCAAUGGGCGAAAGCCUGACGCAGCGACGCCGCGUGGGGGAUGAAGGUCUUCGGAUUGUAAACCCCUUUCGGGAGGGAAGAUGGAAUGGGGUAACCCAUUCGGACGGUACCUCCAGAAGCAG